UGUCUUUUGCCAUGUCUCUCUUAGAUACAAACUGAUCGAAGAUGCAACGUCUGUGUUUCACAUGUUGAUAGGAACCUGAUACCAUGUUUCUGUUGGUUUACAGAGCUGGUUAUUACGAUUACACUA
rnacentral:snoRNA from 1 species